UGAGUAACCUGCCCUUCACUCUGGGAUAACUCCGGGAAACCGGGCUAAUACUGGAUAUGACUCGAACAGGCAUCUGUUUCGGGUGGAAAGAUUUAUUGGUGGAGGAUGGACUCGCGGCCUAUCAGCUUGUUGGUGAGGUAAUGGCUCACCAAGGCAACGAUGCGUAGCCGACCUGAGAGGGUNAUCGGCCACAUUGGAACUGAGACACGGUCCAGACUCCUACGGGAGCA
rnacentral:rRNA from 1 species